rnacentral:lncRNA from 1 species
CUUAAAACCCAAAAGGUUGCAAGGUAGUGACUAAUCCCAACUAAAGUUGUGAUACCUCUAAAAACAUAAGUUAUGAGUUGGUGAAAGAUGGAUGCUUUGGAUCGUUAGAUCCGGAUCCAAUACCUUCUUGUUAAAAUUGUAUAGAGGCAAAAUGUUUGAAUCUUUAUUCUUUUGGAAAGAAGAAAGAAUCACAAAGUUGUUGAGAUUAAUUCACUUAAAUGUUAGUGGCACUUGUCCACAAACAUAAUAUUACUCAUGUUGAAUGACAUUCACCGAAGAUCACUCUCGGUUGGACUAUAGUUUAUUUUGAAUAAACA